UAGUCUUGAAUUUUAGCACCUGGCUCUCAUUGAGUCAUGCUAAUCUCUCUAGCAAAGUGGUUGCUCCGCAGGCCUCUUGGAUUCCUCUUCUGAAAAUGUUCUUUUCUUCUGUGUCACAUUUCCAGGCUUCAACAUUUUUACAGUCUGCUUCCAUUUUAUUAUGAGUUCCAAUUGUAAGUCUUUCCUUUGCUCCCGUAUCUGACUAUAGAUUGUUAGAAGCAGCCACAUCACCUCUUGAAUGCUUUGCUGCUUAGAAUUUUUUUUUCCCCAGAUACCCUAAGUCAUCAUCCUUAAAUUCAGCCUUCCACAAAGUCUUAGGUCAUGGAUAGCAGCCAAGUUCUUUGAUGGGGCAUAACAAGGGUAACCUUUGUUCCAUUUCCCAAUAAGUUCCUCAUUGCCAUUUGAGAUCUCAUCAGCCUGGCCACCACUGUCCAUAUUUCUGUCAGCAUCUUGAUCACAACCAUUAAACCAGUCUCUAAGAAGUUCCAAACAUUCCCUCAUCUUCUUGUCUUUCUCUGAACCCUCCAAAGUCUUCUAACCUCUGCCCAUUACCCAGUUCCAAAGCCAUUUUCACAUUUUCAGGUAUCUUUAUAGAAUUGCCCGACUCCUUGAUAUCAAUUUUCUGUAUUAGUCUGUAGUGCAUUGUUAUAAAGGAAUAUCUGAGACUAUCCAACAAGAGGUGCCAGGACAGAGUACCUGGAUUAUUUUUCUUCACAGUCCUAGUGGCAGUAGAAUGUGUGACAAUAUGUAUGGGAAUAUCAGGCAGCUUUUACUGAUGGCAAAAGGCAAAGGGAGGGCAGACAUGUCACAUGGUGAAAGUGGAAGUGGGAGAGAUGCCAGGCUGUUUCACACAACCAGCUGUCAACAUGAACUAACAGAGCAAAUCUCACUUGUUACCAUGGGGAUGGCACCAAGCACUUCAUGAAUGAUCCACUCCUCUGAUUGAAAUACCUCCCCCUAGGCCCCACCUCCAACAUGUAGGAUCACAUUUCAACAAGAGAUUUGGAGGGGGCAGAUAUCCAAAUUGUGUCAAAUGGGUUGCUUGGAUCUUCUUGUAAUAGAUAAUUUCCACUCUAAUCUAUUUCCAUGAAUUUCUUUCUAGAUUUGAUGUCAUUAUAGCUGUAAUCUCCCAACUCUCGCAAUACUGUUCGUGCAUCAUAUAACCAAUAUUCUGUAAUGCAAUUGGCCUUGAUAAUCCAAUAUUUAUUAUGAAGUCCUGGUGUUUUCAUCUUGCUGCUGGCUCGAUGCUGCCCAAAUCCAAUACGUAGAUCCUGAGCUCAGGCCUGAGCUGUAUGUACCUUGUGAGUCCAGGCCCUCCAUUAUCAAUACGUAGUGAUAUGAUUUUCCGACUUCAGAAAACAUAAACAAAGACAAGGCUAUAGUCAUCAAUUUUCUCUAUAACUAUUCCAAAAAGCAAGAACAAUACUCUUAGCCAAGCUUGUCUAGAUGAAGGCUUUUUUCUCUCCUUGGCUCUUUUUUGCUCCUGGUUUUGUCUCAUGUUACGAGAAAGUCCUGGCAACUAACACUCACCUUAAGGAAAAAAUACAGUUCCCUACCCUGCCUCAUGUGGAAAAUCCAAUUUCCUCAUAGCCAAUGGCUUUUAUACAAGGCAAACACACCAGAUUCCUGUAAUCCUGGCUUUGUUCCUGUAGGCAAGGAAGAUCUUUUUUUCUUCUCCAACAUGGGUUUUUUUUUUUUUUUUUUUUUGAAUGUACAAUCACUUAUAAUUACUUUAGAAUAUUUGCCAGUAAGGUGACUUUUAAUAAUGCCUUUUGGCCCAACUUUAAAACAUUCGCUGAGUCAAAAAAUAGUAAUACCAAAAUGAAAGUGGAAGUGGAGGAACCAAUUACUGAGAAUUUAAUGCCUUGGCCUGUUCAUUUGUAAUUUUAAGUUUUUUUUUUUUUUUUUUUUUAAUGAGAAUCUAAUAUGUGCUAGUAAUCUUUAGCACCCAAUAGAUUUUCCAAUUCUACCAUAUAUACACACAUAUAUAUAUAUAUAGGAAAGAGAGAGAGGGGGUGGGGGAGAGAAGGACAUUGCCUUUGGGAAAAUAACAAUGUGUUUAAGAAAGAACUGGGGACAUAAAUUGUACAUGUAGUAAAUAAGUGUCAUGAGAGGCUUUUAGACAUCAGAAGAAACCGCCACUGGCAGCUGGGUUGAUAUAUGAAGGUUUCAUAAAGGGAGGAUAGGGGAGCCCAAAGAUAUUAAAGGCAAACACCAUCUAAUUGCCUGGAAAUUAGAUAAAGGAUUUGCCGUGGCCAUUUUACACUGGAAAAGUGAUUAAAACAUGUAAGAACAGUCAGUUCUGAGUAACUAAACCAAGCUACUACUUUAACCAUAUUCCAUCCCUGGGCACUUAAGAUGGACUUACUGCUGGGAGAUAGAAAACAAAACAAAACAAAACAAAACAAAAUCUGCAAUGUGUUUCAACAGACUCACAUAGUGUAUGGUCAUGGUGACCAGAAGACAAGGCAGCAAGAAAUAGAUUUAAAUCUAUGUUUAUUUCAACAAAGUUUCAGAAUCUGCUUAGAGGAAAAUAAAGUUUUUUUUCACAUGACAAUUAGAUGUUCUGUGUGUGCCCCUGGGUACACAUUUGUAUCUAUAUUUUACAUAAAGCCCAAAUAUCUUUUCUGAUUAAAAUUUUUACUUUUCAAUGGG